GACGAACGCUGGCGGCGUGCUUAACACAUGCAAGUCGAACGAUAAGGCCCUUCGGGGUACACGAGUGGCGAACGGGUGAGUAACACGUGGGUGAUCUGCCCUGCACUUCGGGAUAAGCCUGGGAAACUGGGUCUAAUACCGGAUAGGACCACUGCCUGCAUGGGUGGUGGUGGAAAGCUUUUGCGGUGUGGGAUGGGCCCGCGGCCUAUCAGGUUGUUGGUGGGGUGAUGGCCUACCAAGGCGACGACGGGUAGCCGGCCUGAGAGGGUGACCGGCCACACUGGGACUGAGAUACGGCCCAGACUCCUACGGGAGGCAGCAGUGGGGAAUAUUGCACAAUGGGCGCAAGCCUGAUGCAGCGACGCCGCGUGAGGGAUGACGGCCUUCGGGUUGUAAACCUCUUUCAGCACCGACGAAGCGCAAGUGACGGUAGGUGCAGAAGAAGGACCGGCCAACUACGUGCCAGCCGCCGCAGUAA
rnacentral:rRNA from 1 species